GAAGGCAUAGCUCAGUGGUAGAGCGUCUGCCUAGCAUGCACGAGGUCUUGGGUUCAACCCCCACUCCCUCCA
rnacentral:tRNA from 1 species